GGGUCAAUGAUGACUAGACCACUGCCCAGUCUGAGUUCUUGGGAACCAGGUUAUGUAGCAUGUUCUGAGAACGGACUGAGACUG